rnacentral:misc_RNA from 1 species
UCAAACUUGGUCAUUUAGAGGAAGUAAAAGUCGUAACAAGGUUUCCGUAGGUGAACCUGCGGAAGGAUCAUUAUUGAAUAAACUUGGUUGGGUUGUUGCUGGCUUCUUAGGAAGCAUGUGCACGUCUUUCCAUUUUUAAAACCCCCUGUGCACUUGUUGUAGACCUGAAUAGCUCGUCGAGGAAGAUUUUCUCGGUUCUGAGAAAGUGCUGUGUUUUAGAAGCCAGCUUUUCUUGUAUUUUCAGGUCUAUGCUUCAUAAAUACCCACUCCAUAAGAAUGUAUUAGAAUGUUGUUAAUGGGCCUUUUGUGCCUUUAGAAACAAAUAACAACUUUCAACAACGGAUCUCUUGGCUCUCGCAUCGAUGAAGAACGCAGC